UACGGAGGAUGCAAGCGUUAUCCGGAUUUAUUGGGUUUAAAGGGUGCGCAGGCUGUUCGUUAAGUCAGCGGUGAAAUGUCCCGGCUCAACCGGGGCCCUGCCGUUGAUACUGGCGGACUGGAGUACGGACGGCGCCGGCGGAAUGUGUCAUGUAGCGGUGAAAUGCUUAGAUAUGCCACAGAACACCGAUCGCGAAGGCAGCUGGCGAGGCCGGUACUGACGCUCAGGCACGAAAGCGUGGGGAU
rnacentral:rRNA from 1 species